UUGGCGCUGGGGUCCUUGAUCUUCUUGGGUGGGAGAAGAUCCCAGUCAGAGUAAAGGCUACCCGUUUGCUUCUCAACAUUGUCGAUGAGAAUGCUGUAAGUUGCAUCUGGGCGGAGGAUGAAGGUGUACACAUGGGUAAGCUGAUCAGUUUCACAUGGAACAUCCUUCUUGAUCAGGUGGUUGGCUUCAUUGUAGGUAAGGAUAGCAUGCACUUUCUUUGUGCUGUAGCCACAGAUAUCGGGACCAAACAUGAUACUGCGUGUAAACCAGAUGGGUGUUAUUUUUAAAUAUUGAUGUCAAUUGAUAAUGCUGAGAUUAUUAGAGUAAGAUGAGAUAAGAAAUGUACCUGUAUGGGGUGUCUCCACCAAAUUUCUUCUGGUCAACAUCACCACUGAGCAGCUUCAUGUAGCCACCACCACAGUCAAGCUUUUGCUCGUGCUUGACUGAGAACUGGAAGACUAAGGUUUUGUCCUUGUUACUGAAUUCAGGGAACUCAGCUGAAAUGGCGUAGAAUCUGUAGUCCUCACUAGUCUGGAUACCUGCAAGAAAAUGGUAAUUGCAAUCAACGCAUUAGUAAAAACUUGGAAUAUGCCUGGAAACAAUAAAUCAUGAGUCUGUAACUAGCUCUGAAGGCUGAAACAUACCUUUAUCGUUAGAGUCACCAGACCAAUUUCCAGCAGUGUGUUUCCACUCCCCAGCAGUGUUAUCAUCCUUCUUCCACUCAGAUUUAACCCAUCUGCUUUCCCAUCCAUCUUUAGAAAUGGAAAUAACGAAGAUAACAAAUCAAGACAGACACCAGACAAGAAGAAUCACAGGUUCAUAUAUCAAGUCCAGAACUACAAUACGUAAUCAAUCAAACACAAGAUAAACGAAUUCUUCAAACCAGAUAUUGGUUAGAGUAAAAAUUCCUUGGUGUUGCAAGUCAGAAAAGUGGACUUAACAAACUCAUGAACGCUUCAUUGAACAAAAUUUCUCCCACAUAAGACCGCAAAUUUACUGUUAUAUCAAAGAAGAAAACUGACAAUGAUUUAGAGUGAAACUAGUAUACUAGUGUCGAACCCGCAAGGAAUCAUAACUUAAUUAUCAUCUCAGAAUUCAUCAUCGCUAAAACCAUUUUCACGAAAAGAUGGCGGCCAUUUCCAGGAUCUCCAAUUAGAAUUUCGAAUUCAUAAACCCCAUACAAAACAAAAUCAACAAAUCCAUAGAUCAACAACCAUCCUGAUCAAACAUUUGAAAAUGAUCUAUCUGAUGAAAACGAGGAUACAUAGGUAGCAUGAUCGAAAAUGGAUCUUAAACUCGUAGCAAAAAUCCCAUUAAAACUCAAAUUGACGUAAACAUCACAAUUCAAAACACAAACAAACGCAUCCAUUGGAACCUAGAGUAUAGAGAUAGAGAUGUAGAGAGAAUAGAUACCAUCGAAGCGCUCUUCGAAGAUAACUGCCGCGGAGGCGACGACGAGACCGAUAAGAAUCAGAGAGACGAGGCUAGUGAUUAAUUUCGCCAUUGCUAAAAACUCAGAUCGGAGCUUCUCCGAGAUCGAUCAGAAGAUGAUGUACAAGACCUGGAGUUUAUAUAGCACGAGGUGCUGCAAGUGAGCUUUUGCACUCAUGGAUUUUAGCCUUUUGCUACGUCGUAUAAAUCUGCAGCCACGUAAUCCAAUCAGUAACCGACACGUCAGGUACAUUUGUCACUAGGAAUGACAUGGCGUUAUGGUAUUGGGUGAAACGGGAGAAAGAUUGACACCUGUCAAAUCUUCAGCUUAAGACUGGGCCUUGGCCGUUGGAUUCCAACUGAUUCUUCUUAAUUUAUUAAACUCUAAUUGCGUGGGCCGAGGCAUUUAUGUGUGUAUUUUGGGCCGAUAAUAUUUAUAUUUGUGUUGAUGGUUUUUCCUUUUUCGUGUGUAAAAGCGACUCAAAAUCUGAUUUCAAUUUAAACGCAUAUAAGGAAACUUUAUGCCAUCUUUUUUUUUUUUUUUUUUUUUUUGGUUUAAACUUUAUGCCAUCUUGCAUGUUCUUGUUGUUACUCAUUGAUCCAUUUAGUCUCACGAUUUUAGAUUCUUGAUCUCUUUGUAUGAUUUAAGGCAUUUUUGUUACUGUAAUCGCAAUGAAAGAAUCAGCUAAUAUGAAAUUUCUGUUCAGCAGCCAACUGAUGUGAAGACAUUAGAGAGAUUCCAAAACUUUGGGAAUUUAUGAUCAAAACUCAUUGAAGAUUGGAUUCUUGAUUACAAGGAUACUUAUAUGGUCCGCUUUGUUAGUUGUUAAUGUCAAAAAGUUUAUGGACUUGAUGGUCUGCGUUGAUUUAAUGACAAUGGACAUAACGGAAUUUUCAAAGGGUGGUGCAGUAAGUAAUACACCACAAUCUGAUUUUUGGCGGACUUUGGCUUAACGGAGAACCAGUAGUAGAGAAAGAGACGCAACAGCAAAAAUUCUCCAUGAUGUUUUUUUCAGUCUAAAAUAAGCAUCUGACGUUCAUUGCAUCCCUCUUUUAAUUCUGCUAAAAAUUGUUUCUAUCUCCGACAAACUAGAUGCUAAAGUACUUCAAAACAAAGGAUAAAACAAUAAAGACUCGAAACUUUGGUCUUCAAUCUUCAAACUCCUUCACUUACAGCUCAUCCUGCAAAACCAAAUCAUACAAUGUAACCAACUAAGUUCAAACGAGAAGAUUAUGGAUGAGUGCAAAUAUUUAAAGUGACAUUAUUAUAAACAUACAUGAGCGGUGGCGUCUUUCUCGGCAGUUUCCUCGCUAACUUCUGAUUUGCUCUCCUCAUCUGUCUUAGAUUCGGAAUCGGAGUCAUCUCCUUCAUCAUCCUCUGGUUCCUCUUCAGCCUGGAAAAUAAAUCACAUACAGUAUUAGGACCUUGACAGAAGCAAAGAAGAAUCUUAAAUCUUGAUCAAUCACAAGUGCUUACAUCAGAUUCCGCAGGUGCGUCCUUGGAUUCCUGUAUAAUGACAGAAGAAAAAAAGAUGUCGUCUCAGAUUCAAAAGGAUUUCACUUCCUAUUUUAGAGAAUAUCAUGAACUGUGAUCGCUAAUUAGGAGAGAUGUUUGGUUGAAGAGUGUUACCUCUUCCUCCUUCUUCUUCUCAGCCUCAUCGAAAGCUGCUUUCUCCGCCUGCAAUGUGAUAUUAGAUUAGAUAUUCUGAUCAGUAACCAGAAACAAAGAGUUUUGUUAAUGGAGAUGUGCAUACUAAACACAUACAUCCUUGAGCUUUCCCCAUGUUUCCUCUGCCAACUUCUUGGCAUAGUCUGGGUCAUCGCAGAUCAAGACAUUGUCAAACAGAGAUCCUGAUUUCACCUGAAAGAGUGGUAAUUAUUUUAGAUAGGAGUCAUGUGGCCAAAGCAGAUCUUGGAAGACAAGAGGUCAUAUAGUGACAAGAUCUAUUACCUGCCACAAUUCGAGUCCAACAUACUUCAGCUUGGGGAAGACAUAGAGCUCUGGGUCAUCCUUGAAGUCUGCGUGAAUCAGUUUAAAUUAGGCACAGUAAUUGUUGAAAGAAAACAAAAACAGUAUGUUUAGUAUUACAGUCAAAUCCAUAUGACCAUGAUAUAAAAGUGUAAAUCAUCGUGAACAAAAGAUAUGGGUUUCUAUUUUAAUAGGUUAACCACUAAACACAGAAACACUUUCAACCUUUUUGAAGUAAGGUAUUUCUUAAACAUUUGAGUUUAUAGGAACCCUUAGAUAGCCAUCUACUUAAGUCAAAAGAAAAAAAAAUCUAAAUUGGAAGAGAUUUCUAGGCAAACUAGAAGCCAUCAAACAACAACAAACAGAAAUAGAAACACAAACUACAUGUAUGUUAUGCAACAUGAAAAAAUAUGGCCACAGAGCGUAGUAAUUUACCAGGGUUAUCAAUCAAUGGAGCCUUCCACUUGCCCUUGUAGUUGGGGUUCUUGAUUUGCUACAGAAAUUUAUGAUAACCUUGAGAUGAAGAUAACCGUUGACAAGGAUUUAGAUACUUUUUGAGAGCGAGAUUGACAAACCUUAGGCUUCCAUUCACCAUUGUACUCAGGGUUGGGGAUGGUUGGGGCAGUCCACUCACCAUCUUCUUCAUCAUCCCAGUCCUCAGGCUAAGAGAAAAGACAUAAAGAAAAAUCAGCAAAUAUGGAACACAGCGAGAGAUUUUAGAUUUUCCAUCAAUUAAAGAAAAGGUAGGAACCUUCUUAGCGUCGGUGUCUGGGAUCUCCUUUGGGAUAUCAUCGUAUCCGUCAGGUUUCUUGUCUUCAGGGUCAGCAAUGUAUUCUUGGUCGUCCCAGUCCUCAGGCUGUUUAUAAAAAAGGGAUCAAUAUGUAUGAUGGAUGGUAUCACAGGAAUAAUCAACCAAUUCGAUCAGAGACUCAUAUUUUCCUGAGCUUUAGUCUGGUUGGUUCUAGUUCGCUCUAUAAGUGAUGUAUAAGUGGUUGGUUCUUAGUUUAGUCUGGUUGUUCAUAAGUUACUGAAUACCUUCUUGGCGCUGGGGUCCUUGAUCUUCUUGGGUGGGAGAAGAUCCCAGUCAGAGUAAAGGCUACCCGUUUGCUUCUCAACAUUGUCGAUGAGAAUGCUGUAAGUUGCAUCUGGGCGGAGGAUGAAGGUGUACACAUGGGUAAGCUGAUCAGUUUCACAUGGAACAUCCUUCUUGAUCAGGUGGUUGGCUUCAUUGUAGGUAAGGAUAGCAUGCACUUUCUUUGUGCUGUAGCCACAGAUAUCGGGACCAAACAUGAUACUGCGUGUAAAACCAGACGGGUGUUAUUUUAAAAUAUUAAUGUCAAUCAAUAACGCUGAGAUGAUAAGAGUGAGAUGACAUAGGAAAUGUACCUGUAUGGGGUGUCUCCACCAAAUUUCUUCUGGUCAACAUCACCACUGAGCAGCUUCAUGUAGCCACCACCACAGUCAAGCUUUUGCUCGUGCUUGACUGAGAAUUGGAAGACUAAGGUUUUGUCCUUGUUACUGAAUUCAGGGAACUCAGCUGAAAUGGCGUAGAAUCUGUAGUCCUCACUGGUCUGGAUACCUGCAAGGCAAUGGUAAUUGCAAACAACGCAUUAGUAAAAAACUAGGAAUAUGCCACAAUAAAUCAUGAUUCUAUGACUAGCUUUUUUUAAUUUUUGGACAGAGUCUAUGACUAGCUCUGAAGGCUAAAUCAUACCUUUAUCGUUAGAGUCACCAGACCAAUUUCCCGCAGUGUGUUUCCACUCUCCAGCAGUGUUAUCAUCCUUCUUCCACUCAGAUUUAACCCAUCUGCUUUC
rnacentral:lncRNA from 1 species